AGCUUUGCGCAGUGGCAGUAUCGUAGCCAAUGAGGUUUAUCCGAGGCGCGAUUAUUGCUAAUUGAAAACUUUUCUCAAAAACGAACACAUUUAAUAUGAAUAUAGAGCUAGAUAUAAGUGUAGGUGUAGAUGUACA